rnacentral:lncRNA from 1 species
UUUGGUAUUUUUUUUAAUUAGCAACUAUAUUUAUGUUGGGAUAUUUUCAUUUAUUCGCGUAAAUGUUGCAUUGGGAUAGUAACUUAUAUUUACCCUAGUAAAUAUUAGAUAUAUGUACAUAGAAAUCACAAGAUAUAGUUACUGGAUAUGAUCUAAAAGUAAUUAUUGAGACACAUAAAUUUGUAUGUAUGAAUAAUUGUUAAUUAGUAUAUCAAUCCUUGCCAAUGUACAUGUUC